rnacentral:lncRNA from 1 species
GGCGGCGGUGAGCGAGGCCCUGCGCGGGGCCGUGGCCCACCUGGCCGUGGAGAUCAACCCGGCGCCGCCGCGCAGGAACAGCUUCGAGGUGGCCCUGGUGAAGGAGGACGGCAGCACCGUGGAGCUGUGGAGCGGCAUCCGCAAGGGGCCGCCCCGCAAGCUCAAGUUCCCCGAGCCCGCCGCCGUCGUGGAGGCCCUCAAGAGCAGCCUGGCCUAGGGGCACCUCCGGGAGCCCCCCGGCGGGGCACGGCCCCCGGGGGGUGCCCCCCUGCCCGCCCGCAGCCAGCCCAGGACUCGGGACCCCGCGGGACCGGAGCGUCCGUGAGGAGGCGCGACGAAGUGGGGGGCGCCGGCCAGCCCCAGUCUCGUCUCCGAUGCCGCAGCUCCUCCUGCCCGCGGGUAAYGGGUGCUGGCACCCCUCACCGCCCCUUUCCCCCACCCCGACAGCCCCUGUCCUGCAGUUUUGCAAUAAAGCCGUGCAACCCCCUGGCACGCCUGGGCUCCCUGCUGCAAGACACGGACAGCACGCGCUGCUCCAACGCUUUAUUUCCAACAAAAAGCACGUCCCGCCCAGAACCUUCCCCGCGGCGGAACCCGCCCAGCAACCGCGCCGCCAUUGGCCCGAGCCUCCGGCCAAUCGCAGCGCGGCCUGCGCUCUGGCGGGAACUCCUCGAGGGAGGGCGCCGCCGACCGUUGCUCGCAACAUGGCGGCUCUGUCUCGCUGCCUCCCUCCCGCCCAGCGGCAGCGGAGCCCCGCGGCUGGGGCACUCUGCUGAAGGUGCCGGGGUGGCCGGGGCGGAUCCUUUGGGGGUUGCUGAGGGAAAUGCCGGUCCCAGGCCUCUACAUCUUAUGGCGGCCCUGCUGAGGUGAAGGCCUGUUCGAGUACUCGCCUCGGAGCCAUCUUGUUUCACCGCAUUGGAUCUUAGACCCUGUCAGUAUGGGGUUUAAGCACCGCUGAUGAGACAGAAACAACUGGGAUGAGGGCGUGCUGUUUGCCAAGAAGCUCUUCCCAGCGUGGCAGCACUGUCCAACUUUGUGCUCGCUUGGUCGGAGCCCUGCUCGAGAYCUUGUUUUGGGACUUUCCAAAUCCCUUGUGGCCUUGCGUGUGAGAAGCGGUGUUUUCAUGGUUUCCUGACGCCUCUCAAGAAGACAGAGACGCAUGCAAACACCAGGCAAAAAAGGGAGGAUUGAUAGUGGGUAUUUUGGAAACCAGCCUUCAUGCAAACGAUGCUGCCUACUUGGAGAGUUUGAAAUGUAUUUUGUCAUUUUAUAAAGCAUCCAUUGUAGAAACAUCUGCGUCAGUCACUCCACGCACAGGAACAACAAUUAUAAUGCUCCCAGCCCAAUUGCCUGGAGAUACUAGCUGCUCCUAAAAAACAACCAAAGUGGGUGGAAAUUUCAAGAGCUGAAGAAGAAUGGGAGUCUAAAUGGCACUGUCGAUUUUUAAUCUACAAAGUUUUCUGCAGCUAGUUAAAUGCAGUAUCAUCCCCUGACACUUUCUGUGGCUUUGCAGAUGGAGUUUCAUGUGUUUCGACAUGUGAGGGUGUUUUUCUCAAUCUUUGCUGUGUGCAGAGCAGAUGCAAACCGAGGGGGAAAGUGACUGAUUAUGGGUCUGGGCCAGAGGCUAGUGAGGUUAGUGGCAGCCUUUCCACUGACCUCGGGUGGCUUUGACUGAGGCUGUAAAUACCAAAGGAAACAGUGAAACACAUAAUUUUGCAUCAAAGUGCUAUCAUGUGCUCUUAAAAAUAGAAGAAAAGUAGAGAAGAUGUUUCCUCCCUGCCCCCUGCAAUCUCUUAGAAUUAUAAUAAUUGGAGUUGUCAUGUGGAAAGCUUGAGUUUGUUGGGAGCAGAAGGAUACAGCUAAGAAAGUU